ACGGGGGGAUCCGCGGAAAGCCUUCCUCCCUCUCGCCGUUGCGGCUUCUUCCCUUGCGGAGCUGAAGACCAAAGUCGCUCUGUCACACUCCUGCUGUCCGACGCGGAAGGGAGCUUCCCGCGGAGCGCGGCCCGGCCAGGCUCCGGCCCGCCUCAACUGCGGAACGAGUGCCGCCUUCUCAAGCGCUUAAUUCAAAACUCUUCCUCAAAAAACUCUUAAAUGUGGAAAAGUUUGGUUCGACACGAACGUCCCGCGGCUGGUGCAAACAUGACACUCCAUAAUAACCCUGUAACUGUGUAACUGAAGUAAUGUCUUCAUCAGCUGCUGCCAAGCUACACCCAGACAAGCCAUCUGCCACCCUAGGAAACUACAUACUCCUCUGAAGCCUGGAAAACAUCAGAAGCCUCAGAAGCUCACAAGACAUUGACAGAACCCUCUGCAAGUCUGAAGCUGUAGCUUGCCCCAUGAGUUGGGAGAUAGUUUUUCUGCCUUCAUCCUGGCCCAUGAGUUCUUUUCCAUCUUAUCUUCUCCCCUGCUGUCCUGUGCUGGAAGGAAGUCACAGAAUGAGCUUGACGGGCACCUGGUGGCCAGCCAAGGUCAGCCCACCGCACUUUUGGACACAGGUUGUGGAAAUGUUACGAUGAACUUCAUGUCUCAUGCAUUUUUAUCCCUGCAAAGAUC